UCCCAUGUUCUUUAUUUGCAAACAAUAUGUGCCCGCGAGUUGGCUACAGCUUCCGCGCUACCCACUAAUUACAGCGACACACACACUCCCUCCCUCAAUAUCUCACUUCCCCCUGCUCAUGAAAACUUCUUGCAAUUCUGAAUGUACUUUUUCUCACUGACACCAGGGCAUAUUUUGGGAUAGGAUUUAGGAGAGUUCUCAUUUGUCAUAAAAAGGAUUAUCAAAGAAGUCUUCGAAUUGGAUUCUUGGGAGUGUUUCACAAUGGGUCGCAGUGGAGUUCUCGGAGCUAAACUUCACGGGACAGUUUGUUUUACUUCGUGAGACGCCAGCGAUGGAGCGAGGACAGCGGCGAGGCGCCGGGACACUCUACGCACCAUACUGACAUUAUUACCGGGAAGUUAGCUACUCCGUCAGGAUGUGUGUGUGAGGGCUGACAGACUGGGUCCAGCCAUGGAAUCAGAGAGGAACUGCAGCUCUUUCUGUGACUCCAGACUCUGCCUCAUCCACCCUGGAGUCAAUACACAGAAGGGCCUGGAGAUACUGCAGAGACUAUGUACCCUCAGCACGGAGGAGCCUGGUGCUGAAAUGAAACUAAACAGCAGAGAUGAAUGUUGAGGACCCAAACACACUUUCUCCUUAUACAUUUCUUUGAGCACUAAGUCUCCUGCACUUGGAGUCGUCAGGAUUCAAGAGCAAAACAAAGAUCAGUCAACAACACCCAUCGUCUCAGGCAUGGCAUCAUUUAGCACUGUACUGUCUGAAGAUCAGUUCCAUUGCUCUGUCUGUCUGAAUGUUUUCAAGAAUCCAGUCACAACCCCAUGCGAUCACAACUUCUGCAUGGCUUGUAUCAACGAAUACUGGAGAACCAAUGUCAUGUGCCAGUGUCCACUGUGUAAGCACACAUUCCCCAAAAGACCUGAGCUAAAUGUCAAUACUUUCAUUUCUGAACUGGUUGAUCGCUUCUGGGCACCAGGUCAAGGGAAUGACACCAACCACUUGGAGCAAGCGGUGGAGAAGUGAACUGCGACUUCUGCAUUGGAGGGAAGGUCAAGGCCAUGAAGUCUUGUCUAAAUUGUCAGGCUUCAUACUGUGAGACUCACCUGGAGACUCAUAAGAAUGUCCCAGCUUUAAAGAAACACAAGCUGAUCAACCCUGUGGGGAAUCUUGAAGAACGAUUGUGUAAGAGGCAUGAUAGACCUCUGGAGCAGUUUUGUAAGACUGACCAGACAUAUGUGUGUCAGUUCUGCACAGAGACUGACCACAAUGCCCACAACAUCGUCUCUCUAGUGGACGAAAGUAGAGACAUGAAAGCUCAGCUGGAAAAGAUUGGCGUUGAUGUGAAGCAAAUAAUUCAGGGUCGACUGCAGAACGUUAAGGAGAUUAAAGGAACAGCACAGUCCAACAAAAUAAAUGCAGAGGAAGAGAUAAAGGAAAGCUUGCAGGUCUUUACAGAAUUAAUGUGCUCUAUUGAGAGUAGCCAGGCUGAGUUUAUUGAGGCGAUUUGAGGAGAAGCAGAAAGCAGCUGAGAGGCAGGCUGAAGGGCUCAUUAAAGAGCUGGAGACGGAAAUCACUGAGCUAAAGCAGUGACGCUCUAAGCUAGAGCAUCUCUCACACACCAGGGACUACCUUCACCUGCUCCAGAGCUUCCCAUCCCUGAGCAAAAAUAACCACCAAGGACUGGUCGGAGAUCAGGAUUCAGAGUGUUGAGUAUAUCGGAACUGUGAGGAACGCUGCGAGGACGGCUGGCUCUCAGUUUGAAGAGACACUGAACAAGGAAGUGAAGAGGUUAUGUGAUGCUGAGCUGAAGAUGAUACAGCAGUGGUCAGUAGAUGUAAGUCUGGACCUUGAUACUGCCCACCCAAAUCUUCUCCUCUCUGAAGAUGCGAAACAAGCAAGACAUGCUGGUAGAAGACAAAACCUCCCUGGCAACCCAUAAAUGUUUUUCUACAUUUCCAGCGUCCUGGGAAAGGAGGGCUUCUCCUCAGGGAGAUUCUACUACGAGGUGCAGGUGAAGGGAAAUACUCUCUGGAGUGAAGGAGUGGCCAGAGUGUCCAUCAACAGAAAGGUUAUUGCAGCCAAGCCUGAGAAUGGACUCUGGACUGUCCAGCUGGGAAAGGAAUGUCUACCAGGCCUGCAUCACAGACUCUACCCCCCUCUCCCUGAGUAAGAAGCCCCAGACGAUAGGGGUCAAUGUGGACUAUGAAGAGGGUGAGGUCUCCUUGUACGAUGCUCAUACCAAGUCUCGUAUCUACUUGUUUACUGGUUGUACCUUCACUGACAAACUUUACCCAUACUUCAACCUUGGGUUUUGUGGCAUUGAUAAAAUGUCAGCACCAUUGAUCAUCUCUCCGGGAGACAAUCUGAUUGAGAUUUCACAACCUCACCCAGCCAACAUUUAUCCAUCCAACCCCGGUUGUACGUACUGCCAAAUCCUCAAAAACAACGAUGGAGGAAGCUUGGAGGAAGCUCUGGUGGACAUUCCUGCAGUUAGCAUGCCAAUUGCACGCUCCCUCAAAACAUGAGACAUCU